rnacentral:rRNA from 1 species
GAUGAACGCUGGCGGCGUGCCUAAUACAUGCAAGUCGAGCGAACAGAUGAGGAGCUUGCUCCUCUGACGUUAGCGGCGGACGGGUGAGUAACACGUGGAUAACCUACCUAUAAGACUGGGAUAACUUCGGGAAACCGGAGCUAAUACCGGAUAAUAUAUUGAACCGCAUGGUUCAAUAGUGAAAGACGGUUUUGCUGUCACUUAUAGAUGGAUCCGCGUCGCAUUAGCUAGUUGGUAAGGUAACGGCUUACCAAGGCAACGAUGCGUAGCCGACCUGAGAGGGUGAUCGGCCACACUGGAACUGAGACACGGUCCAGACUCCUACGGGAGGCAGCAGUGGGGAAUCUUCCGCAAUGGGCGAAAGCCUGACGGAGCAACGCCGCGUGAGUGAUGAAGGUCUUCGGAUCGUAAAACUCUGUUAUUAGGGAAGAACAAAUGUGUAAGUAACUAUGCACGUCUUGACGGUACCUAAUCAGAAAGCCACGGCUAACUACGUG